CAGUUCGGACUGCAGGCUGCAACCCGCCUGCACGAAGUUGGAAUUGCUAGUAAUCGUGGAUCAGCAUGCCACGGUGAAUACGUUCCCGGGUCUUGUACACACCGCCCGUCACACCAUGGGAGUCGGUAACACCCGAAGUCAGUAGUCUAACCGCAAGGAGGACGCUGCCGAAGGUGGGAUUGACGACUGGGGUGAAGUCGUAACAAGGUACC
rnacentral:rRNA from 1 species